rnacentral:siRNA from 1 species
GCAAGCCUAUGAUUGAUAAGCUG